rnacentral:rRNA from 1 species
AUACGAAGGGUGCUAGCGUUGUUCGGAAUUACUGGGCGUAAAGAGCAUGUAGGCGGAUUGAUUAGUCAGAGGUGAAAGCCCCGAGCUCAACUUGGGAAUUGCCUUUGAUACUGUCAAUCUAGAGACCGAGAGAGGUGAGUGGAAUUCCCAGUGUAGAGGUGAAAUUCGUAGAUAUUGGGAAGAACACCAGUGGCGAAGGCGGCUCACUGGCUCGGUACUGACGCUGAGAUGCGAAAGCGUGGGGAGCAAACAGGAUUAGAAACCCUAGUAGUCC